AACCUUUAGCCCAACUAACAUUAAAGGCAACGCCUGCCCAGUGAACAAUUAAACGGCCGCGGUACCCUAACCGUGCAAAGGUAGCGUAAUCACCUGUCUAUUAAUUGUAGACCCGUAUGAAUGGCAAAAUGAGGGUCUAACUGUCUCUUGUAAUAAAUCAAUUAAACUGAUCUCCCAGUCCAAAAGCUGGGAUAAAAACAUAAGACCAGAAGACCCUGUGAAGCUUAAACUAAACGAUUAAAACAAAUAAUACCUCCUUUCGGUUGGGGCGACCUUGGAAAAAAAAAGAACUUCCAACAUAUAUGUGACUACCUCAUAAUAACACAGGCAGACAAGCCAAAAACUAGACCCCAGCAUAGCUGACUAUUGAACCAAGUUACUCCAGGGAUAACAGCGCCAUCUUCUUCAAGAGCCCAUAUCAAAAAGAAGGUUUACGACCUCGAUGUUGGAUCAGGACAUCCUAAUGGUGCAGCCGCUAUUAAGGGUUCGUUUGUUCAACGAUUAACAGUCCC
rnacentral:rRNA from 1 species